rnacentral:misc_RNA from 1 species
AAGUUUUCAACUUCAUCUGACCUAGAAAAAAAAAUUGCUGAUAUUAGGUAAAUUUCUGAAAUAUUUAAUAAUUUGUAGAUAGCCGGGUAUGUCUAUGUCUAUGUUACAAUAAUUUUUAUGUUGUACAAGGGAAAUUCUUUUUUUAUAACUCUCAUCUUCAUCAUUAAAAACUGCUACGACUUUUCCAUUUUUCUAUUAUUUAUAAAUAGACUGCUCUCUGUCUCCCUCAGCCACAUUCAUUUUGUAUUUUCCCUCUUUUAGAAAUUUUUUUCCAUCUGACUAGAAAUGUCAAUGGCAUCUAUUUUAGUUGUUCCUUUUUUUGGUCUAGUUUGCAAUAGUGUUUUUAAUUUAUUUGGUAAACUAUUUGAUGUCUAAUAUGUCUGGCUAUGAUGAAAAUAUAGUUGGAGAGUU